rnacentral:rRNA from 1 species
AACGAACGCUGGCGGCAGGCUUAACACAUGCAAGUCGAGCGCCCCGCAAGGGGAGCGGCAGACGGGUGAGUAACGCGUGGGAAUCUACCCUUUUCUACGGAAUAACGCAGGGAAACUUGUGCUAAUACCGUAUGAGCCCUUCGGGGGAAAGAUUUAUCGGGAAAGGAUGAGCCCGCGUUGGAUUAGCUAGUUGGUGGGGUAAAGGCCUACCAAGGCGACGAUCCAUAGCUGGUCUGAGAGGAUGAUCAGCCACAUUGGGACUGAGACACGGCCCAAACUCCUACGGGAGGCAGCAGUGGGGAAUAUUGGACAAUGGGCGCAAGCCUGAUCCAGCCACGCCGCGUGAGUGAUGAAGGCCCUAGGGUUGUAAAGCUCUUUCACCGGUGAAGAUAAUGACGGUAACCGGAGAAGAAGCCCCGGCUAACUUCGUGCCAGCCGCCGCAGUAACAC